AACAGGUACUUAUAUAUUUAAAUACAUAUACAGCAAAUGUGAAUGUAAGCCCUUGGAAAAUGUCCGAAGAACCGCGCAAGGAAACGGAGGAGUGGGACUUGACUUUGAUCCCAUGUCCUGUACUACUUGAAUUCUGGCGGGUGUGCAAGCUCAUCGACCUGCGCUACCCACCGCCGGCUAAGGAGGGCGCUGUGGCCUCCAGCAUCCCGUCGGCCGGCGCGGGGACGACAUCACCACGGGCGGUGCCGCAUGCGCAGUAGAAGGAGCCGUGGUGCUGUGGGUGUUGCUGCCUAAACUCUUCCGGUCCGAAGUCUUGUUCUGGCCGAUAGGGAGCCGGACUGGCGGCUUUGAGGCUCUUGGUGCUGGGUGGACGGCGUCUUGGGGCCCAGAUGAACCAAUGGCAUCCUGCCUGCUACGGCUGGGGCCAGAGAGGCAUCUUUUCCGGACGGCCCUCCGGCAAUAAGAAGGGUGGAAGCCACGCCCCCGAAAGCCUGGAGCCAGAGUGAAGAGGACUUGGAACAGAGCUGCUGCUGGCAAUGUGAGCAAGAAGUAAAGACGGUGGAAAGACUAUAUCCCAGUUGGACAGCGGAUGCCAGGGACCCGUUUCAUUGCUUUCAAAGUUCGUUUGAAAAAAUUCCUGAGAGGUUGCUCCUGUAUUCCUCCUUUCUGUGUGAUCGUCCCAACGCCUCAAUUGCCUUUUCCAUGGCCUCUAAAAGUGGAUUCCUGAGGUUCCACGAGGGUCCCUGCUCAGUGCCUGUCUGGAAGUCCACCAGCAAGAGAAGCACAGGGACACUCUUCAGUUUCCUUUCCUCCACGUGGCCCCAGGUCUCUUGCACACUGUCAUUAUAAAAAGCCUCUUCUGA